rnacentral:rRNA from 1 species
UACGUAGGGUGCAAGCGUUAAUCGGAAUUACUGGGCGUAAAGCGUGAGCAGGCGGCUUUGCAAGACAGAUGUGAAAUCCCCGGGCUUAACCUGGGAACUGCAUUUGUGACUGCAUGGCUAGAGUGCGGCAGAGGGGGAUGGAAUUCCGCGUGUAGCAGUGAAAUGCGUAGAUAUGCGGAGGAACACCGAUGGCGAAGGCAAUCCCCUGGGCCUGCACUGACGCUCAUGCCCGAAAGCGUGGGGAGCAAACAGG